GAUGAUGAGAUUUAUCACUACAUCUAGAUCUUAUUUAACCUAUUUAAUACAAAAUAGUUAUUUUGAAAGAAAUACUUAAGACAUCGUAAAAUAUGAAUAGAGCAAAUAUUUUUUUUGUUUUAAUGUUGUCAUUAUUUUUCAGUUAUUUUGCAGGAAACACUUUCCAUCCAUCCAUCCCAAUGGCACUACAGCCCAUGGAGGGCUUUAGCUGGCUUCAACACAUCCCUCCAUUCAGAUCUCUCCUUAGCCUUUUAUCUCCGUCACUAUCUGUGGGUCUUCAUACAAUUGAUAUAUCUCAUGUAUCUGCACUAUUCAACACAUUCAGAGAGGAAGCAGCAGCUCAAACUUCAACAUUUUUGAGUCUUUCAAUUUUGCUGUUGUCACGUUCUCCACUGUUGGCUAUGGAGAUGUUUCCUCUGACAUUUGGCUGGGCUGACUCUUAAUGAUUCUAACCAUUGCCCUGGCAUUUGUUUUUAUACCUAGCCAGAAUAGAGAUGUAAUUCUGCUGUGUCCCCGUGAGUUGGAAACCAGUAAGCAAGUCUUCUAAUAGAGGUCUGAUAGAGUCAUGUACAUCAAGCGAUCAGCACUAAAAGAUGUGGACCUGAUGUGGUGUCAAGCUGAUGAAGCUUUUGCUUGCUUCUUUUGGCUGUUCAUUUAACAAGACAAAGCACAUACUGAUCGUCAUACCAUUUUAAGAUCCUGGGAUGUGAAAGACUUUACACCAGACUGUCGUCAGUAUCUUUACCUCUUAUUGCCGGCAAUAAAAUACAUAUGAAACUUGAUCAUAUUGUGCGUAAAGAUGGGUUAGUGUUAGGUUAGAUGAGUUCAGCUUUGCCUUGUUAGCCAACAACUGUCUGUAUCCUGGACUGUCCACACUUGUAUUAUUGCUGGUACAUUUUCAGCAGUGAGCCAUAGCAGCAGACGUAUAGAAGGCAUGCUGGGAAUGAAAUUCAUCACAUGCAGCUGCAAAAAAGUGUUUUCAUUGGUAAUUAUGUGGGCUACACUUACCCACAAGCCUCAGCUGAUGCUCACCAAAGGACUGUGUCUCAGCGAAGCAUAAGAGUUGGUCUUGGAUUCAAACAGUCAAUGAAUGUUUAGGCAUUUAUAGUGAAAAUACUGCUAACUAUCAUCAGUUCGACCAUGAUGUUUGCCACCUGGAAGAAGACAUGCUUUCAUUCUUGCUUUGGAUGGACAGUUCAACAGUUAGAGCUCAAGUCAAGACUCAAGAUCCUGAUGUCAUGUUAAAACAUUUCAGACACAUACAACUCAAUUUACUUCUAUUGGCUGGAAAUAUUUAAAGCAUGACAGUGGCGUAGGUAAAUUACCAAAUAGUGGAUCUUAUGUUGGAUUGAUCAGCCCUGAUGAACUGACCUGACCAUUGUAAUUGAAACCAUAACUCAUGACCACUCUAUCUGUAUAGGUCCUGGUAUACCCUGGGAUGAUGUUAACUUUUAACUUGAAAUCUUAAAGGAAGUUUUGCUAAACUAACAAGCAUGAAUGUCUGGUACAGUAAGAUAGGGUUAAUGUAAAACCUGACAUUAUGGUUCAUUCAAUUGGGACAGCUAAUGUUUGUGUCUGAUCAAGCAGUUCUCAAGUUAGGGCUUGAUGAAGUCUACAAACUGACCAUUAUAUCUACUGGACAAAAAAGGAUCUUAUAUGUAUAUUUUAAACCUGGUCAAUGCCUAUUUCUCCACUAUUGUCGACAUCUUGAGACAUCACCAUCGGCAGAAACCGAAGACGGCUGAUACAUUUGUGUGGGUGAAAAACUGAAGGCGUCGCUCGAAGACAGCUGAUACAUUUGUGUGGGUGAAAAACUCAAGGCUUCGCUCGAAGACAGCUGAUACAUUUGUGUGGGUGUAAAAUUCAAGGCGUCGCCUGAAGACAGAUGAUACAUCGUUUCCAUGUGAGCGCUCGUCACCAACUUUUGACACGCUCUUGCAUUGUCGAGGUUUCACCUUACAUUGCUAUACAGAAGGUCCUCCAUUUAGACCUCUGUUCACUUAUGGUCAUUCUAAUUUUUCAGAGACUUUACAUAUUUGGAUUAUCUAAGCUGAAGUUCUCCACUUAAGUACUGUUGGAUUAUUUAUACGAAUGUUCAAGUACUUUUGGAUUAUUGAUCUUUGACGUUGAAGUUGGACUAACUUGUACCUAUUGGCGCUCUCCUAGUCAUCGUUGUACGCCGAAGAAAUAACACAUGCCUGCAUUACUACACUUACAUUUUGGAUUAUCUUAUUGGAUUAUUUGGAUUACCUGUUGGACUUGUGUUAAUUGUAAAGGUCAAGAGGAAAUAUUUUUUGACAUUACUUGAGCAUUUGAGCUAUCUUAUGGCAUAUGACUGGAUUAUUUUACUACUACUUUGAUGCUCACAUUGAUGUGUAUUCUCAAUCGGAUUACUUAGUUACCUUACCCAUGGAUUAUUUUUGAACUACUCAAGCUGUAUUUGUAUUUGACAAGCUACAAGAGAGGAUUAAUCUACAUCAGUCUACAAAAGAAAGUCUGUAAGUUAUAAUUAAGGAUUGAAUAUAU